AUCCCGCCCCGGCCACGCCCCCGCACUGAAGGCAGAACCGGCGCUCCGGACCCACCACCAUACUAGGAGCUAGUCUGGAGGUGCUGGCCCAAGUGGCUCCCCCCACCUUUUUUUCUCUCUCUCCUGUUGAUUUACUUUGGACAGCCUCGGAAACUCUCCAAAGAGAAGACGAAAUGUUGGAAGUGGAAAACAAGUAGUGUCACCAGAUAAGAAAUGGGAAAUAUCAUUUGGACCUGACCCCAGCUGUCUUUCUCUCCCUCCCGUCUCUGUCUCUUCUUCUCCAUGACACCCCUGUGACACUCCAGAGAAACUGUCACCAUUGAAAUUCUGUCAACACCUCAAGGGGGUAAACUCCAAAGGAAUCAAAUAGAGUAAGGGACAGACUCCCUGUCUUUGUAGGCAUUACGAUGGCAUCAGGGUUUGGAAAGUAGUAACCUGAAAAUGUAUUUCUAUCCCUGCUCAUGGAAAGGGAAUGCAUCAUCAGAGCACUACUCUGAGCACUGUUUUGACUUAUGAUGGUGUUGGAGAUCGAACCUGGGGCCUCAGGGACUUCAGCAACAACAGCAAUGGAAAAAUAAAAAGAUGGCCGCACCGAAGCCCAGUGAUAACCCUGGAGGCAAAAAAAAAAAAAAAAAAAAAGAAGAGUCAGAGCUCAGAGCUUGCUAUUAGAGUGAUUUCACUUCCUUCACCUCAUCUUAGAUGGAGCUUGAAGGAACCAUGUUAAGUGAGCCACCAGGUUCCAGAUGCAACCAUGAUGCCAACCUGACUUCCCUGUGCAGACAACCCCACCAAUGUGUCCUGAAGCCCCGCCUCCUCAGGCCCCUACUCCACUAGGGAAAGACAGAGACAGGCUGGGAGUAUGGAUCAACCUGCCAACACCCAUGUUCAGCGGAGAAGCCAUUACAGAAGCUAACCCUACCUUCUGCAACCCAUAAUGAUCCUGGGUCCAUACUCCCAGUGGGAUAAAGAAUAGGAAAGCUUUCAAGGGAGGGGAUGGAAUAC